CCUACGGGUGGCAGCAGUCGAGAAUUAUUCACAAUGGGGGAAACCCUGAUGGUGCGACGCCGCGUGGGGGAAUGAAGGUCUUCGGAUUGUAAACCCCUGUCAUGUGGGAGCAAAUUAAAAAGAUAGUACCACAAGAGGAAGAGACGGCUAACUCUGUGCCAGCAGCCGCGGUAAUACAGAGGUCUCAAGCGUUGUUCGGAAUCACUGGGCGUAAAGCGUGCGUAGGCUGUUUCGUAAGUCGUGUGUGAAAGGCGCGGGCUCAACCCGCGGACGGCACAUGAUACUGCGAGACCAGAGUAAUGGGGGGGGGACCGGAAUUCCCGGUGUAGCAGGGAAAUGGG
rnacentral:rRNA from 1 species